AAAUAAUUGACAGCUAAAUAAAAAUGCAUAUAAGUGGCUUCUGUUAAAACGUACCUAAAUAUUUGUCUGUCUGCAUAGGUUUUGUGGAUAAAAUUAUGUCUCUAUGCCUUUUGGCUCCUUUGUCUAACAUCAGCUUUGAUUGUUAUCUGAUUCACCCCAUCAUUAUUAUACUGUACAACGGCAAACAAGAGACAGCCAUGCACAACACAGACUCCAACUUUUUCUACCUGUUUCUGGGUCACCUGCUGUAGGUUACGUGUUAACUGUGCUAACUGAAAAGCCAUAUCUCUUCGAUAAGUCCUGCUUCUUUACCUCAAAACUGGAAGAUGAAGAGAAGAUUUAAAAAGAAGAGUUAUAUAUAUUUAUAUAUUUAAGAAAAACAAGAUUUUAAGUACAGUAUAUUUAUUCAUUCAUUGUCCCCAAUUUUCUCAUUUCAUUCUAUUUGAAAUCUGUGUUAGAGACCUUUGGUGUUCUUAUUUGAAUGCAUUAAAUAAAUGAUUUGAUGUACAGAAUUAACAGAUGAACUAAAGUUUAUCAGUGUAUGUUGUCAUAUAGUGACACUGCCUGUUUUUAGUAACUCACAGAUUAAAAACAAUGUAUUGUGUUGAUACCAUAGUAUAAUGAUGGCAUUAAGGGUAACACCAUGGUACUUAAUGUUACAACAGCCUGUUUUUGAAGUAUGCAGGGACUAUGAAAUGGGUCUCUCCAUAAAUAAAAUAAUGUCAUACAUAAGAUGAGCUGAUGUCACAGUCACACGCAAGGAAUAUACUGAGUACUUCAAGUGUGAGCAGCUCAUAACAAUAAAACAAUGACCAGACAUCAGUAUCUGAAGUGUAACUGACGCGGCCACAUCUUAAUUGCAGAAAGUGAAAGAGGAGUCAUUUAACAAUCCAUCAUUUUGAAGUAAAAAAAUAAAAAAAUAAAAAAAUCCCAUAUCAUUAGACAUUUCAGAACACAUAAAAGCUUUCAAGUAACAAUACUGCAUAAAACAUUGUUAAUCAUCUUUAUUUGGGAUGCCACUAAAGAUAUUCUUGACAGAUGGUCUAAAACACAGGUAGCCUAUUAUAACUCGAGUUUGCCAUAUAUUAUCUCCUCCUAAGUUCUUAAAAUAUGUGGUCAAACAUGCUGUUACCCACCUGUGUGCCUGCUGUAAUCAGGCAAGUCACAAAAUCUGAAUCAUAAGAGGACAAUCAACUUCAAGAGCCCAAUCAACUCUUCAAGAGACCAAUUAGCUAUUUGACAUCUUUUUUAUUUGAAAUUAGAGAACUAUUUUAAAACUCCAUGCAACCCAUUUCGAGUUUUGUUUUCCACUGCAAUGUAAACAAUUUAAAGCUCGAAAUGUUUAUUACUAUGAUUUGAAUUUCUCUCAACUCCCUUGUAAUCAUAAAAUAAAUAUCUACGCUUGAGGACAUUCUCGAAUGACUAUUCACAUCUAUCGGUGAAUCAAUUUCCGGUUCAUUAAAACGUACUUUUCGCUUUAAUGAAUCUGUCUUUCCAACAUUACUACCAUUAAAAGGGUUAAAAGGUACUUGUUUGAGACUCUUAAUGAUAAUAUAUGAUAUUUCUAUAGUCACUAAA
ensembl:lncRNA